GUCGAUCACUGAGGGGAGGAAAGCAGCAAGGCCAUAAGCAGCAGAGCGAAGAGCAGCAACAUGUGUGGGACUGCAUCUAUGUUCCUCUUGUCAUACAAUAAAUCUUACAUUUAACAAGAAAUGAAUUGCUUCUAACAGGGUUUGAAAAGUUGUUAUGCUGUCAAAGUAGCACGACACCUUCUCUUAAAAUGUUUGCUAGCCUUAAAUUACAACUACAGUUAUGGUUGAAAGUCUUUCUUGAUUAAAAAAUUAGAUUAAGGCUAGCUUUUUUCAUAAUUGUACUUGAUUGAUGUACAGAAUUAUAGAGGACAUAAAGGGAAUUCUUCUGAGACAAACGUCAGCAGGAGGAACAUAGUGCGAACACACACUCGGCUUCAUGAAGCAGCAGAGAAAUCAAGACUCAGCAGCUUGUGAAGGUCAGAAUCCAUUUCAGCAUGAAUGAACAUGACAUGAAUUCUUCUCAAUGUAAAGCCAGGAGCUCUCAGCGGUAUUUGAUAGGUGUGUGUGAUUAUAUGAUGUGUAUGUUUUGUAGUACAGUUUCUAAAUGUGUUUGUGUGCACGUGAGACUAACUUGAGCAGGUCUUCUUGUCGUCGUUCAGUUUGUAUCCUUUGUUGCAGUCGCAGGUGAAGGAACCAGAGUGUAUCCAGGCAGGCACAGGCAGUGGUAGGAACCCGGGGAACUCUCACAGAUGUGCUCACAGCCGUGAUCCGACUCCAGACACAGAUCCACACCUGCACCAGAGCUGGAAAAAAUAACUGCAGCAUCCACUACUGUGUGAAGAAGAACUCAAAGCUUGUCCUGGAACUGCAGUCCAAACUGGUGAAUGAGAUCGAACGACUCCACCAGGAAGACGUGGUCUUCGAAGGGUGGGGAC